UCCACGCAGUAAACGAUGAAUGUUAGUCGUCGGGGGCCUAGUGUCUUCGGUGAUGCAGCUAACGCAUUAAACAUUCCGCCUGGGGAGUACGGUCGCAAGAUUAAAACUCAAAGGAAUUGACGGGGGCCCGCACAAGCAGUGGAGCAUGUGGUUUAAUUCGAUGCAACGCGAAGAACCUUACCUAGGCUUGAAAUGCAGUGGACCGGUUGUGAAAGCAACCUUCUCUUCGGAGC
rnacentral:rRNA from 1 species